UAUCGGUUCCCUAUACUCUAUAAUAUCUUACACCGUGUUAAGUGCCCAGCAUGGCAGUAUGGCAGCUUAGACCAAACAUUUACUGUAACUGUCUCUGUCUCCUUGUCUCAGAUGGAUGCCUGUCCAAUCCCUGCUUUGCCGGCGUGAAAUGUACUAGCUACCCUGAUGGCAGCUGGAAAUGUGGUGCUUGUCCCGCUGGUUACAGUGGAAAUGGCAUCCAGUGUACAGAUGUUGAUGAGUGCAAAGAAGUGCCUGAUGCCUGCUUCAACCACAAUGGAGAGCACAGGUGUAAGAACACGGACCCCGGCUACAACUGCCUGCCCUGCCCGCCACGCUUCACCGGCUCACAGCCCUUCGGCCAGGGUGUCGAACAUGCCACGGCCAACAAACAGGUGUGCAAGCCCCGUAACCCCUGCACGGAUGGGACCCAC
rnacentral:sRNA from 1 species